rnacentral:lncRNA from 1 species
AAUUCUUUGUGCCCUUCCUACAGUUGUGCUGGCAACAACCGCUUGGUUUCCCAGUGCCUUAACUUCAUGGGACCUUCAUUAUACUGCAUGACCUUCACUGCAAGUGACCACGAGUGAUCAUUUGUGCCACAAACCGUCUUAACACCACUUGAAUUUUUGUUCUCCUUAGAUCCAGCCAGACCAGAUAAUUAAUUGCAAAGUCUCUCCCAUUCCCUGAGGGCUGGUUGUUGAGAUCCAGCUGCCACCAAGCAUCCCUCCCAGCUCUGAACUUCGUGUCUUGACCGAGCACCCAGGUGCCCAGGAGCCCUUAGCUGUGCCGCUGCCCCAGGGCUACUGUGCACAGCAUUCCUAUCCUCCAGACCUUUGCUGUGCCCCGACUGUGCUCCACACCAAGUUAAACGUGUCUGUCCGUGUUCCACUUCAGAGGACUAGAACUUCCAAGGUGCCUCUGAAGACUUCAUGUCAUGUGGCCUUCAGUCUCCAGAAGCCAUUCCUAAAGACUUAUGUUUUGCUGUAAGCAAUGACAUAUCCUGCUUCACAAGCCUAAAGCGAUAGAAAAACGUGGUGGUCUCUUCAUUUCCAUGAUCAGCACAUCUCAAGUGUUUGAUUCAUUGUUGAAUGAGCAGCCAAUUUACUGGCUGUAGUUUUUGUUCUUAGCCAUUUAGGACAAAGUCAACUUUCCUUGUGGCUAUUGGGUCUAAACUGCAAUCUUAAACUUUAAAUGCUAAGGGUUUCAAAAGUUUCAGGACUGCUGAGAGAUACAAGGGGG